rnacentral:rRNA from 14 species
CUCAGUUAGUACUUGGAUGGGAGACUGCCUGGGAAUCUUGG